AUUGAACGCUGGCGGCAUGCCUUACACAUGCAAGUCGAACGGCAGCGGGGGAGAAGCUUGCUUUUCCUGCCGGCGAGUGGCGAACGGGUGAGUAAUACAUCGGAACGUGCCCUGUAGUGGGGGAUAACGCGGGGAAACUCGCGCUAAUACCGCAUGCGUCCUACGGGAGAAAGCGGGGGCUCUUCGGACCUCGCGCUAACAGAUGAGCCUAGGUCGGAUUAGCUAGUUGGUGGGGUAAUGGCCCACCAAGGCGACGAUCCGUAACUGGUCUGAGAGGAUGAUCAGUCACACUGGAACUGAGACACGGUCCAGACUCCUACGGGAGGCAGCAGUGGGGAAUAUUGGACAAUGGGCGAAAGCCUGAUCCAGCCAUGCCGCGUGUGUGAAGAAGGUCUUCGGAUUGUAAAGCACUUUAAGUCGGGAGGAAGGGCUGUAGGCUAAUACCUUGCAGUUUUGACGUUACCGACAGAAUAAGCACCGGCUAACUUCGUGCCAGCCGCCGCGGUAA
rnacentral:rRNA from 1 species